rnacentral:rRNA from 1 species
UACGUAGGCAGCAAGCGUUGUUCGGAGUUACUGGGCGUAAAGGGUGUGUAGGCGGUUGGUUAAGUGGGGUGUGAAAUCUCCCGGCUCAACUGGGAGGGUGCGCUACAAACUGUCUGACUAGAGUGUGGGAUGGGAAAGUGGAAUUCCUGGUGUAGCGGUGAAAUGCGUAGAUAUCAGGAGGAACACCGGUGGUGUAGACGGCUUUCUGGACCAUAACUGACGCUGAGACACGAAAGCGUGGGUAGCAAACAGG